rnacentral:sRNA from 1 species
GCUGGGCACAACGGCGUACGCCUGUAAUCCAUCAGCUUGGGAGGCUGAGGCAGGAGGAUCUCAAGUUCAAAGCCGGCCUCAGCAAAAUCGAGGUGCUAAGCAACCCAGUGAGACCCUGUCUCUA